AAAACAAUGAGUGAGUGAAAACGAUGUAAUACACAAGGCACACAAUGCACACGCGUGGAACACAAACACAACAAUGGACGCGCAGUGAUACAAUGGGAGGGAAAGUCAUGCCGAGCGAUUGUGAGGUCUGAUUUUUUUCCAGGAGGCAUUUUUGUGCCACAAAUGUUUUACCCUUUAGAAAGCAUACUGUUUUUGAGAAGCCAAACUGUACGUAAGUGGCCCCACCAACUAACCGGAGCUACGUUCCUCAUCACCGAAAUCCGACCAAAACUCGGCUCAGGAAGUGGGGGGGGGUAAGGGUUAAGUGGCCAUCCAGCCCUAGAAACCAAGUGUGCUCGGGGACCAGACUUGAAACGAAGUGGUAGGAGGAGAUACACUCCACACACUCCAGCUGAAAGGACGAUAGAGCGGAGACCGAAAGAAGCAUAUAAAUGAACCCUCUGCUACACCACACAGCCCUCCAGUACCGUUCACAAGCUGCAUUGGAAAGGUCAAAUGCAACAAAAUGCCAUUCUGGAUUUUGUUACUAAAGAAUCUGAGAGAGAACAUCAACAACAGGACUAGACUUUGGCCAAAACAGGGAGGAUUUUAAACCUCAAAUAAUGCUUGCUAUAAAAACGGUGGCUCCACGCUUCCCUCAGUAGAAGCUCAGACAAGAGAGAAUCCAACUGAAGCAAACAUGCUGAGAGUGUACAAGCUUGAGAAGGCUUUGGAGACGGUCCUGGGUGAAGUCAACCCUGUCACCUCCGAUGGAGAAGACAUAGCAGA